rnacentral:snoRNA from 1 species
UUGACAUAUUAACAGUGUUCCCCAUGGGGGCGCAGUGUACAAUGGUUGCAAACAUUACCUUCCUUGAUAGUGUAUGCAGCCUGUUGAUUGUAUGGGUUGCCCUAAGAGACCCUGGAGACAGUC